GGCCAACAACUGUGUGUGGCAGCAAGAAGGCAGUUCCCAGUUGUGGCUGGCAUCUGAGCAGGCAUCAGGAUGCUGGGCUGGGUGCAAAAGGUGCUGCCUCAACCCCCGGGGACUGCCCAGAAGACCAAGGCGGUGGAGGAGGAAGCAGAGAACGCAGAACCAGAACCAGAGCUAGAGUCUGAAGCAGCUCCCGAGGAGGCCGAGCCAGAGGAGCAGAGCCCGCCCCCUGAAGAGACACCUGCAGAGCCAUUUGAAGGGUGUGAGGUGGCUGCAGCUGACCCAGGCCUUCGAG